rnacentral:rRNA from 1 species
UACGUAGGGUGCGAGCGUUGUCCGGAAUUAUUGGGCGUAAAGAGCUCGUAGGCGGUGUGUCACGUCGGCCGUGAAAACCUGCAGCUUAACUGUGGGCGUGCGGUCGAUACGGGCAUCACUGGAGUUCGGCAGGGGAGACUGGAAGUUCCUGGUGUAGCGGUGAAAUGACGCAGAUAUCAGGAGGAACACCGGUGGCGAAGGCGGGUCUCUGGGCCGAUACUGACGCUGAGGAGCGAAAGCGUGGGGAGCAAACAGG